CUCUCUCUCUCUCUCUCUCUCUCUCUCUUUCACCCCUCUGGCUUUUUAUGUGUCAGACUGAGCGUCCCAGGAGGCUGCAUGGCCUCUAUGGUCCAGAAAAGAGCGGGACUGGUCAAAGCCCACCUGUUCAGCAUUUACAAAGAAGGAACAAAGAAUGACAAGUCUAUAGGUCAUGGAGGCCUGGAGCCUACUGUACUAUAUCUCAGGAGACCCAGGCGGGACACAUCCCGGACAGGGUGCCAAUACAUCGCAGGACACACACACACACACACACACACACAUACACACACUCACACAAAACGGGCAAUAUGAAAACACCAAUUACUAUGGCCUAAUCUGCAGGUCUUGAAUGAAAACCAGAGUACCUGGAGGAAACCCACCAAGGACGGGGAAAACAAACAAACUCCAUGCACACAGAGACGGGAAUCGAACCUGGACCCUGGAGAUACUACUAGCAGAGAGAGGACCAUCAGAAUGUUUCAACUUGGUGCAAUGCAAGCAGACAUCACUAGAAGAUUUGGAGGAACUGUGGAAUAGAUUUUGAGCAACUGGUUCCACUGCUGAUCUUCCGUCCCAGGUCUGGAAGACUGAGAAUAGCAACGCCAAGACAAGACAGACUCAUUCUUUGGCAUCAUUUGACAAAUGGUACAAAGGAAGCUGCUGGUAUUAGACGAUAAGUUGUCAGACUAUUUAACUAAUGGCAAUAGUGCACCAAUGCUGACAUUGACAACAUCUUCUGAAUUUUGAAUUUCUGGUGCUGAUGGACACACCAGAUUUUUCUACAAGUAAAAAAAUACAUUUUAUGAGAAAUUUAUACCUGGAAUAUGUCUUUUGUCCUGAAUUAAUAAUUACUCAGGCCUUUUAUUUCUUUUUCUAAAUCUAUAAAUAAUUUUGUAAGAAGAUUACAAAGGCACAUUCUUAAAUGAAUUUGGAUAGCAUGAGUUCUGUUAAUAAGCAUACUUUCACAACAAUUGCAGAAUAUGCACUACAGUAAGACAUUUAGGUCUAUAUAUUUUAGACGAGCGGUUAUUAUGAUGACACUGCUGUUGAUAAAUAAAUAAAACAAAUCUCAAAAUUUUGCAGAAAUUACAGAAAAUGUAUGUAUUGCUACAAGAUGUAAAUUUCUGGAGGAUAACAAAGCCACAUGUAGGAUCAGUUACUGUGAGGUGCUUCAGUGAAUACAGAGCACACCACGGUGCUGUUUCAGCAGUUUCUGCAUGCAAGGUUGCAACUGAUUAGAUCGAUGUCAACCCUAAAUUAAUUUAGAGCCUAUACAGGCCCUGGCUCCUCUUUCUGUUCUAGCUGAAGCAAUAUGGCACAUGGGGGAUGAGAACAUACACUGCAGUGGAAAGUGGUGAACACAGAUUAAUCAUCAACACAUAUACACACACAUGCACUAACACACACACACACACACACACACACUCAUAUGUGUGCACAUACACCAUCCUCGUCCAGCUGUCGAAGUCGGCGCUGUCGCCAUAGCGACAGCAGAGUGCUGCUCAACAUCCUGGCCAACAGCUGCUCUCUGUGGAGACGGUAUUGAUUGAGUCUGUUCUCGCCCCACUCUACCCAAAUGUCUGUGUUCGUGCGUUAAUGCACCUGAGGCAAACUGGUAAAACACCUUAUCCAUGUAUGUUCAUGUGCCUAUACAGUAAUAACUACUGUUUUUAGUUGGAGUGAACCAGCUAAUGCUAAACCCUAAAAAAAAAGAAAAAAAGAUCCAGCCCUGGUCUCAUUGUUCCUGUGUAGGCCCGGUGAUAGGUCCUUCACAAGACCCUUCAUUUCCUUUCAGCACACUGUGUAUCAUCAAAGCCAGGAUUAUCGUGGGCUGAGCCGGAGAUCCAAACCUGAGCACCUGACAGAUCUAAGCUUAUUAGUGCUCAUGAAAAGAAACCUGCACAGGAAGCGUUUAGAGUUUAGAGCUAGCUGGAGAUGAAACGUACAGUAGAUCAUUCUCUAGCACUUCACCUCACUUUUAGAUAAAGCGUAACAAAAGGCGAAUGGGAAAUUAAUAAGAGUUUAAUGUUGUCUGUGUGUGUGUUUAAUCAAGUGCUAUAAAAUGCAAUUUUUUUUUUGUAACUUCUAUCCUUGUUGUUUUCUGAAUCUCACCAGAGACAGGCAUAUUUCCAGCUGCCUAUCACCUGCCACUAGUUCCCUCACCUUCCCCAUGCAGUUUCAUCUUGAACACUUAUCAUCACCUUCUGUUCAGAAAACCUUUCACAGCUCUUAGAUGUGCCAUCACAGUCCAGUCUGUGUUUC